rnacentral:lncRNA from 1 species
AUGGACGCAGGAGCCUGGUGGGCUGCAGUCCAUGGAGUCGCUAAGAGUCGGACACGACUGAGCGACUUCACUUUCACUUUUCACUUUCAUGCACUGGAGAAGGAAAUGGCAACCCACUCCAGUGUCUUGCCUGGAGAAUCCCAGGGACGGCGGAGCCUGGUGGGCUGCCAUCUAUGGGGUCGCACAGAGUCGGACACGACUGAAGCGACUUGGCAGCAGCAGCAGCAGAGGAGGCGUCAUCCUUUUUCCCUGCAGGGCCACGGCGACCGGAAGGCGGCAUCCACACCUGUCCUCGCCGGAGCAUUCGCUGUCCACCGGCCGAGCACAGUAACGAAAAAGGGCGCGAUUGCCUGUCCCGGAGAAAGGAGGGAAGAGCUCCAUCAGGAUUGGGCGGCUCUCCUGUUUACCAAAUCGCGAGGUCUGAAAGGCAGCCGAAGGAGCACUCCCGCGGCCCGGCUGCGCAGAGACAGGAGACCACCAAAGUCGAAUUCGAACUCGAUUUCUGUGCGGCUGAUUGCGGAGCUGGUAGGACAACGAUUUCCCGGAGUGGAUUCAGGGACCCUACUGAGAUACAAGGAAGAUGGAGCCCAGGAACGUUGCUUUGGGGAUUUCUCCUGCAGAUCAGGCUUUUCUAGAAAGGCUGAGCAUUUUGUUACAUUCAUAUAG